rnacentral:rRNA from 1 species
AACGUAGGAGGCGAACGUUAUCCGGAUUUACUGGGCGUAAAGCGCGCGCAGGCGGUUCUUUAAGUCUGAUGUGAAAGCCCACGGCUCAACCGUGGAGGGUCAUUGGAAACUGGAGAACUUGAGUACAGAAGAGGAAAGCGGAAUUCCACGUGUAGCGGUGAAAUGCGUAGAGAUGUGGAGGAACACCAGUGGCGAAGGCGGCUUUCUGGUCUGUAACUGACGCUGAGGCGCGAAAGCGUGGGGAGCAAACAGG